rnacentral:rRNA from 1 species
CUAUAUCCAUCUACACCUGUGAACCGUUUGAUUGAAUCUUCUGAUUCAAUUUUACAAACAUUGUGUAAUGAACGUCAUUAGAUCAUAACAAAAAAAAACUUUUAACAACGGAUCUCUUGGCUCUCGCAUCGAUGAAGAACGCAGCGAAAUGCGAUAAGUAAUGUGAAUUGCAGAAUUCAGUGAAUCAUCGAAUCUUUGAACGCAACUUGCGCUCUCUGGUAUUCCGGAGAGCAUGCCUGUUUGAGUGUCAUGAAAUCUCAACCAUUAGGGUUUCUUAAUGGCUUGGAUUUGGAGGUUGCCAUUCUGAAUGGCUCCUCUUAAAGGAGUUAGCAAGUUUAACUAUUGCUAUCUGGCGUAAUAAGUUUCGCUGGAAUGGUAUUGUGAAGCGUGCUUCUAAUCGUCUUCGGACAAUUACUUUGACUCUGGCCUCAAAUCAGGUAGGACUACCCGCUGAACUUAAGCAUAUCAAA